UACGAAGGGGGCUAGCGUUGCUCGGAAUCACUGGGCGUAAAGCGCACGUAGGCGGGUCGUUAAGUCAGGGUGAAAUCCUGGAGCUCAACUCCAGAACUGCCCUUGAUACUGGCGAUCUCGAGUUCGGGAGAGGUGAGUGGAACUGCGAGUGUAGAGGUGAAAUUCGUAGAUAUUCGCAAGAACACCAGUGGCGAAGGCGGCUCACUGGCCCGAUACUGACGCUGAGGAGCGAAAGCCAGGGAGCAACGGG
rnacentral:rRNA from 1 species